rnacentral:lncRNA from 13 species
AUGUGCUUCCGAAGCAGGAGAUUCAGCAAGCAUUUCACAAAACUCACAGAAAAAUAUAAUCAUCAACAUCCUGCAAGGACAAGCAGUACUUCACUAAUUGAGAUGUAUCAGGCUGGAGUGCAAUGGCGCAAUCUCAGCUCACCGCAACCUCAGAGGCAGGAGAAGCCUAAUGAUCACAGUGUAUCUAUCCUUCUGGGAACUAGAGAAGUGGCUAUGAUUCCCUCUUCCUUUCAUCUCACUGCCUCACAUCUUUUCAAGAACAGAUAGUAAUAUUACCUCAAACUUCACCUGUUUUUGCGGUCACUUUCUGUUGACUGCAAAGGACAUGGCAACUUAAUUCAACAACUAAUUCAACGGUUGGCUUCUCUUAAGACUCAUAUUAAUUAAAAGGAUAUCAUUUAUAUAACAAGACUGGCUGGUGUUUUUCUGUGUGGUAGAUUAAAGAAAAUAUAUUUUUAGAAAAAAUAUUUUAGUUGAAUUCUUUUAAUAUUUAAAAUGUACAUGAUAAACUUCAAAGUCUUUUUAAAAUUUUUAUGUCAAUUGAAAAAAGCUUUCCAGGGAUCCCUUGUGCAGGCAUAUCUUUGGAUGUACCCUGAAGAAGUGGAAUGAAGAUUUAAAUUUGUCAUGCUGCUUAUGAGUGGCAGAGUUAAAUUUCUGUCACAGUAUCUGUGUUUGAAUAACUAAAUCAUGCUACUUUUCUUAGAAUGUUCUGGAAUUUACACAUACGGAGCAAUAAAAAUCACAAGGGUAAUGUGUACA